rnacentral:lncRNA from 1 species
AGCGUUGGGGAAACAUGCUCAACUUCCAGCAGUCAUUCCCGCUCGCCUCCUUUCUCUUUGCUCGAGGUCUUCGGUUCAGGCUCCACAACUGAUUGAUGCUGUUUUCCUGUUAGUAUCUCUUUUUCAUCAUGCACGAUCCUCCAUAGUGAUGGAAUGGAGACAGCUUCUCAGAGAAAGCACAGCUUUGGAAGGUAAGUGCCGUUUGGAUGGUGAGACCAUCAGAUCAAUUUAACUAGGCCAAGACUCUGAUCAAUGUUCUUAAACCUAUGUAACCCACUGCCACAGAGAUUUCAAAGUGAGGAAGGGUCCUGGACGCCCAUUCAUCCAUUCUCAAUGAAUUAUUCAUUUGACCAGCACUUUCUGACUUUCUAGCUUCAGCCAGACACCGUACAAGGGACAGGGGAGACUGAGAUGAAGAACACUCGGUGCUUCUUCCCAAGGCACUCGCAAUCUCGGAGAAGACAGAUGUGUACUCACACAGAUGCAUAUGCUACAGCACUGUGUGAUGAUGCUAUACAUGCACAAAGUGACCGGGAACAGAGCGGCCGUCCCUGGCGACUCA